UGGGAAUGGAUCAAGUAAGUGCAGUCAGGGAGAUGCUGAGGAUUACGGAUCAGGAAUCCAACACGGCUUUACAUGAAGCAGCAGGGUGUGGCAAUGUUGAAGUGGUGAAAGCAUUGUUGGAGUUUGAAGUCCCUGAUUUUCCGUAUUCUGCCAAUAAAAAACAGGAGACUCCACUUUAUAUUGCAGCUAAGAGAGGAGACGGCGGCGUGCUGAGUGUAAUAUUAGAUAAAUCAAAAUCAGCAGCUCAUGGCGGCCCCCACGGUAGAACAGCUUUGCAUGCAGCAGCUAUGGCUGGAGAUGCAGGUAUGUUGUUGAGUUAGUUCCAUUUUUUUUUUAAUUUGAAAUAAAUAAAGAACAGGUCUAUUGACAUUUUUUUUUUUUGCUUGGAUUUAGAGGCAAUAAGGAUAAUAUUAGAGAAGAAGGGGAAUUUGACAAAGGAAAGAGAUGAAGAUGGACACACCCCUCUUCAUUAUGCUGCACACUUGGGUUCUAGAUUAUCAGUUGUGGAAGAACUGUUAAAAAGGGAUGUGUCAGCUGCCUAUAUAGGUGAUAAAAAGAGGGGGAUGACACCCCUUCUUAUGGCAGCCAGGGAAGGUAAUGGUGGAACAAGGGCAAAGAUUCUCUCUUUAUGUCCAGAUUGUUGCGAAAAAGUGGACAAUAAAGGUUUGAAUUUACUUCAUUAUACGGCUUUUAAAGACUGUCUUCCCAUCAGGGAGUUCUGUUUUUAAGCGUGGUGGUGUUGAGAUUGUAUAUGGAUCAGUUAGAAAUCUAACGGAGUUGGAAGGUGCCUGUAAAAUCUAAUGGUUUUGCAUUUCCAUGGCUACUGUUUUAUUAAUAUUUAAGUUUUGAGUUAACAUAUUUAAUAAACCUAUAAUACAAUCGGUUAAUGUGGGUGGCAUGACAGAAGCAAAUCAAAGAUUUGUUGGAAGAAAUUGAGAAUGAUCAAGUGGCAUAGGAACCAGUUCGUCACUUUCACUUACCAAAUGUUUCUAUAAAAAGAUUGGAGGCUAUAAGAAAUACUCAUUUAAUAGUGGCAGCACUUAUAGCCACCAUCACCUUCGCAGCGGUAAUAACUGUUCCUGGUGGUUUGGAGAGUGAAAAGGGGUCAAAGCAAGGUAAUCCCUUUUUGAUUCAUGAGGCAGCCUUUAAAGCAUUUGUUGUAAAUUGGCCUUUAUUUUCUCUGUUUCUGCCUGUUGGGAUUUGGAGAAUGAUAGAUGAAGGUUAACAGAGCUUGAGCAACAAUGCUGUAUGUUUGCUGGUGAAAUAAACAGAAUCGGGCUUGGGAACAAAGAAAAUGAAAAACAAGAAAAGAGAGUUUUGGAUGAAAUUUUGAAAAUGAUUUCAUUAACAUUGAUUGAAGGCACAAAGCCAAUACAUAAACCAGACAUUUAGCCGGUCAAAUCAAAACAAAUUGUCACCUAACAUUACCUACUAUCACUAAGUAACAUUGGAACUUAUGAAAACAUUGCUUGCACACAUAGGUAUACUGAUUUAUCAAUCUAUCAGUACCUAAUUACAUCAAAACAAUAUCAAUUUAGUUCAAAUCUGACUAAAUUACAAAGCGAUAUUUAAGGUAACAAAACGAAAUGAAAUACAAUAGCAGUAAUGUGCUUCAGCAGCUGCAUGCAUACUUCAUGUGUUGUAAGUGCGGCUUGAUCUGCUUGUUCAUACUUUAUGUGCUGUAAAUGCGGUAUCCAGGCCAACUUCAACACUCCUCCUUGGCUUGCAUGCUGCAUACUCCCAUUUUAGCUCUCAAAUGCACGAACCUUGAACACUAAUGGGCUUUGUUAAGAUAUCAGCAAGUUGUUCUUUAGAACUGCAAUGAAUUAGCUUCACUUCUUGAGCUUGCUCCAUCUCUCUAACAAAGUGAAAUUUGAUCUUGAAGUGUUUCAUUCUUCCAUGGAAUACUGAAUUCUUUGCAAUUGCAACAGCAGAUUGGUUGUCACAAUUGAUCUCUGUCGCUUCCCUUGGUGUAGAUUCAAGUCAGCCAUGAUUUUUCUUAUCCAAAUGGCUUGAUUGAUAGCAAUAGCAGCUGCUACAUAUUCUGCUUCAGUAGUUGAUUGAGCAACAACAUUUUGCUUCUUCGAAUUCCAGCAAAAAAUGGCUUAUCCAAAAGUAAAAACAUACCUUGAUGUACUCUUCAUGUUAUCUAUCGAUCCAACCCAAUCACUAUCAGCAUAACCAACCACUUUCGUAUUUUUAGCUUUGCUAAAUAGCAUUCCAUAGCUCAAUGUACCUUUGAUGUACCUGAGAACUCUUUUGGUAGGUUGAAAGUGAUUUUCAUUGCAGCAAUGCAUGAAUCUAGAUAGCAGACUCACAAUAAACAUGAUGUCUGGUCUAGUGGCAGUAAGAUAUCGCAAACAACCUACCAAGCUCCUAUAGACAGAUUCACUAACCUGCUCAAAGUCACCUUGGCUCGAUAGUUUCUCUCUAAUGGCAACUUGUGUGUUUGAUGCCUUACAAUUUUGCAUGGAGAAUUUGUUCAGAAUCUUGGAGACAAAAGCCUUCUGACUUAGGAAGAUUCCAUGUUGUGUUUGAGUCGCUUCCAUACCAAGGAAGUAAGACAUUUGCCCCAAAUCUGACAUCUCGAACAUGUGUUCCAUCUUGGCUUUGAAAUCAGCUAGCAUUUCAUGAUCUCCUCCAGUUACUAGCAGGUUAUCAACGUAUAGGAACACUAUUAGUUGAGUUUCACUACCUUGCUUCUUCACAUACAAGGUAGGUUCACUGAUGCUUCUUUCAAAUCCAAGGCUAGCUAGGUAGCCAUCGAUCCUGCUAUACCAAACUCUUGGUGCUUGUUUCAAACAAUACAAGGCUUUCUUCAGUUUGUACACCUUGUCCUCUUCACCUGCCACUUUAAAACCUUCAGGUUGCUCAACAUAGAUUUUUUCAUCAAGAAACCCAUUGAGGAAUGCUAAUUUUACAUCAAGCUGAUGAAUUUUCCACUGCAUUUGUGCUGCUAAGGCAACUAGCAGCCUUAUGGUGUCAAGCCUAGCUACUGGUGCAAAGGUUUCAAAGUAGUCAAUGCCGUACUUUUGGCUGAACCUUUUUACAACCAGCCUUGCUUUUAGUUUGCUCAAGCUUCCUUCAGCAUUGUGCUUGGCUCGAAACACCCAUUUCACCCUAAUAACCUUUCUAUUUGCUGGUCUCUCAACUAGCAGCCAAGUCUGAUUAUUUUCAGUCAUUCUGAUUUCAUCAGCCAUUGCCUAUUUCCAGCCUUGUUGAGCUUCAACUUCUUCGAAGCAGCUUGGUUCAACUGCUGCCACUUGAGCUAUUUCAUAAAUCGCAGCUAAUGGUCUAGUGCCCCUGACUGGUUCAUUAUCAAUGUCCAUUUCAAGGCCAUUUUGAUCAGCUUUAGUCUGAUCUGUCAGUAAAUCUUCAAAGACUGCCUCUGGUUCAUUCUUCUCUCAAUUCCAACUUGAAUUCUCAUCAAAGACUACAUCUUUGCUCACAAGCACUUUGUUGCAUGAAGGAUCUAGGAUUCUGUAGCCUUUCUUCAUACUGCUAUAUCCCAUCAGGAUGCCAGGUUAGGAUGCAGUGAUUUUCUUAUGAUUGAACUCGCAUUGAGUUUCAUAGUUCACUUCUCUUUUAUUUCCAUCUUUACAGAUAAUCCACCAAGUUAGGAUGCAGACUCGGCAUACAGAGGACUCGACUCGGGUUUUAUUUAUUAAAAUAUUUUGGAUUUAUUAUUCAAAAUUUUUCGUUAUUCAGGAACUAUAAUAUCUUAUUUAAAUCAUGGCAUGAGACUUAGGUUUUUGUUUAAUUUAUCAUGUAUGACAUAUAAUAUAAUUUAAUAUAUUAUUUUUAAUUAAUUAAGCAUGAAAUAUGAUUUUAAUAAAAUUAAGUUGAAAAUCAUUUUUCCAUUGCUAAAUUAUAGUUUAGUAUUGAGUUGUAAAUAAAUCAGAAAAUUUAACUAAUUUUCAAUCUCAUGUGUUAUACUGAAAAUAAGCUAAGUUUUCCAUAUUUUAAAUUGGUCAUUUUUUAAACUUUGAUCGCUAUUGGGCUAUUUCAGUGGCCGAUAUAAUCUCUCAAAUUUAGAUCUAAUGUAUAGGCUGAGUUGAAGAGGUUACAACAAGAUGCAAGAUUAAUGUUGUUUUGUUUGAAGUAUAAAAUUAGUAAAACACAUAGCAAGGAUAACAUUGUUGGAGAUUAUGGUAUGCUAAAAUGUUGAAGUAGGGAAUUUGACAAAGGAAAGAGAUGACACCUCAACAGUUUAUGAUGCACUUCGAUAUGAGUCAUCACGAGAAAUAUCAGUGUGAAAAGGUGUGUGUAUUUCUAUGACCAAGAGCUAUGGUUUUAUUAACAUAUAUAUAUAUAUAUAAUAGACCUACAUUACAAUACAAUCGGCUAAUGUGGGUGGCAUGCCAUAAGCAAAUUGAAGAAUUGUUGAAAGAUAUUGCACUUGAAGAAGUAGCCAAGUUACCAUUUUUUCACAUUCCCUUAUUAACUGUCUCAGCAGAAAGCUUGGAGAAGACAGGAGAUAUUCAUUUAGUAGUGGCGGCAUUUAUAGCCACUGUGGCAUUCGUAGCAACCAUAACUGUUCCAAGUGAUUUCAAGGGUGAAAAAAUGUCAGAGCGGGGAACUCCUUUUCUAAUUUACGAGGCAGCCUUUAAAGCAUUUGUUAUGCAUUGGCCUUUAUUCUCUUUGUUUUUGCCCUCUCCAUCCACUUUGGAAUUUUGGAUCCUCUUUUAUCAAAAAUAAAUUAUUGAGAUAUUAAUAUAAUUUUAUAUUAAACCCAGUUCAUGUCUAAUGUCCUUGGUGACUGCUUUCCACAUAGGUGGUUAUGUGAUUUUAAAACCUUCUCAUAGACUUGCAUAUUGUUUCAUCUGCCCUGCCUUUUUUGUUCAAUUCUUCUCCUUCUUUGCCAAGUAUUUUCUUUACAGUUUCCUUAAACCCAAAUUUCACCGUAAAAAACUCCUCCUUUAUUGACCUGACCUCUAACCAGAGAUUUUCGUUUUGUUUAAAGUAAAAUUAUAAAGUUAAUAAAGCACAAAGCAAGAAUAGUACUUAGGGCAGCAUCGCCUUGACCACAAAGAGCUGUUCACCCCAUUUUCUUCCCUUCUUUUUCUUCAAUUCUUCUUCUUUGCCAAGUGUUUUCUUUACAGUUUCCUUAAACCCAAAUUUCACCAUAAAACCUCCUACUUUAUUGACCUGACCUCUAACCCUGUAUAUUACUAUUACUAAAGUGUUCAAGUAUGAAACUAUAUAUAUAUAGUUGUAGGUGACUUGAAUGGAGGAUAUGCAAGCAACAAACAAAUAGGUAUGGCAUUUGGUAAAUUUCUUAAUUUGCAGUUUUUUUUUUUCUUGAGCUUGGGAUGUUUCAAGAUAAUUAAUUAAAUUUUGUUUGGUGUUAUAUCCAGGUAGAAAUAGAUCAACAAAAAUGGGACCUCAGGAGCCUGAAGAGAACAUCAGUCACAUGGAUGCUUCGCUCUAUAAGGCAGCAGCAGAAGGCAACAUUGAAGUAUUCAAUAAUAAGCAGGGACUUCAACUUGAGUCGCUAAAGACCCCAAACCAUGACAACGUCCUCCAUGUUAACUUGGCAACCCAGGAGACUGCCGCCUGGCUUUUAAACAGAUUUCACUCAUGCGAUCCGGUUAUGAGUUUUUUCAUUACUAUGAUAAAAAGAGAAAAAAGAUCAGAUUUUAUCGAACAAAUUCUCAGCAAGUGUCCGUCACUGCUACUCCAAACGAAUGCUAAAGGUCAAACUCCUUUACACGUUGCAGCAAGGAAUGGACAUUCUGCUAUUGUGAAACUUCUAAUCAAGUUUUGCGCAAAAGCUAGAGAUGGAGAUUUAGAGAAGCUGGGAAUGGAUCAAGUAAAUGCAGUGAGGGAGAUGCUGAGGAUUACGGAUCAGGAAUCCAACAUGGCUUUACACAAAGCAGCACGUUGUGGCAAUGUUGAAGUGGCGAAAGCAUUGUUGGAGUUUGAAGACCCUGAAUUUCCGUAUUCUGCCAACAAAAAACAGGAGACUCCACUUUACAUAGCAGCUAGGAGGAGAGGAUCUGGGCGCUUGUUGACUCUAUUAUUAGAUAAAUUCAAAUCAACUGCUCAUGGCGGCCCUCACGGUAGAACAGCUUUGCAUGCAGCAGCUAUGGCUGGUGAUGCAGGUAUGUUGUUGAGUUAGUUCCAUUUUUUCUUUUUUUGAAAUAAAUAGAGAACAGGUCUAUUGAUUUUUUUUUUUUUUUGCUUGGAUUUAGAGGCAAUAAAGGUAAUAUUAAAUAAGAAGGGAAAUUUGACAAAGGAAAGAGAUGAAGAUGGACACACCCCUCUCCAUUAUGCUGCACACCUUGGUAAUAGAUUGUCAGUUGUGAAAGAACUGUUAAAAAGGGAUGUAACAGCUGCCUAUAUAGGUGAUAAAAUGAGGGGGAUGGCACCCCUUCUUAUGGCAGCGAGGCAAGGUCAUCUUUUAACAGUUUCAAAGAUUCUCUCUUUAUGUCCAGAUUGUUGUGAAAAAGUGGACAACAAAAGUUUGAAUGUACUUCAUUAUCUGGCUUUUAGAGGCUCUCUGUUGGAACAAUGGCAGUAGCAAAGAAAGCAAAAACGAAUGAAAGAAAACAAAAGAAAAAGAACUCAGCAAGAAAAUUUGUAACUGAAAAGUCAUCAUAGUUUCAUUCAAAUUUUGAAUAUAUGAAGAUUACAAAAGUAUUUGACAGUUACCUACUAAUUUAACUGCUCUUACUUAAUACUUACUAAAAAUAUAGCAACUUGUAUACAAAAGAAAGCUGGCAUACCAGCUAUUACAUCAGUCAAUCUUUCCUACUAACUUAGCUAACUCAUUACAAAGAUUUAGGCUAAGUUCCAUAGGAACAAAUAUUCAAAAAAUAAUUUUAUAACUGAACCAACUCCAUUUCUUUGCUACAAAACAGUAUAGUAGCUAAAAUUGUACAAUUUGCCGCUGUUGGUCUUUUGACCAAUUUGUUGCUGUUGGUUCUUUGUUGCAAUGCAGGCCACGGCUUCAACACUCCUCCUUGGUCUGUAUGCAACAAACACCAAUCCUUUCCUUCAAAGCAUUAAAUCGGUUGGCUCCCAAUGGUUUAGUUAAAAUGUCAGCUAGCUGAAUUUCUGAGCUGCAAUGAACUAAGCUAACCUCCCUAGAUUGCUCAGCUUCUCUAACAAAAUGGAAUUUAAUUUUGAAGUGUUUAGUCUUACCAUGGAAGACUGGAUUCUUGGCUAUGGCCACAGUUGAUUGAUUAUCCACUCUAAUCUCAGUAGGCUGAACUUGACUUUCAUUCAAAUCAUCCAAAAUCUUCCUAAGCCAAAUGGCUUGGUUCACAGCUGCUGCAGCUGAGAUAUACUCAGCCUCUGCUGUAGAUUGUGCAACAGUUUGUUGCUUCUUGGAACUCCAGCUGAAAACACUCGAGCCUAAGGUGAAAAAAUAACCUGAAGUGCUCCUCAUGUCAUCAACUGACCCUGCCCAAUCGCUAUCAGAAUAGCCUACGAGUUUCAGCUCCUUUGCCCUCCAAAACUUCACACCAGUAUCGAUGGUUCCUUUGACAUACCUUAACACUCUUUUUGCUGCCUUCAGAUGUGCCACAUUACUGCAGUGCAUAAACCUUGAAAGUAGACUAACAGCAUAGACAAUGUCUGGUCUAGUUGCUGUUAAAUAAAGCAAACAACCAAUUAAGCUUCUAUAUGCCUUCUCAUCUACUCGAUCAUGUUCACUGGCACUUGACAAUUUUUCUCCCAAUGCAACUGGUGUAGUGACUGAUUUGCAUUUCAACAUGAAAAAUUUUUCAAGCACCUUGGAAGUAAAUGUUUACUGACUUAUGAAAAUGCCAUCACUUCCUUGUUUUAUCUCCAUGCCAAGAAAGUAGGUCAUCAGACCAAGGUCAGUCAUCUCAAAGACAUGUUGCAUCUGUUUCUUGAAGUCUUCAAUAAGUUCAUCUUUGCAGCCAAUAACCAACAGAUCAUCAACAUACAAGGAAACAAUUAACAAGGUUUCCUCCUGAUCCUUCUUAACAUAGAGUGUAGGCUCACUGAUACUCUUUGUGAACCCGAGCAUUGCUAAGUAGCCAUCAAUCCUCUCAUACCAGGCCCUUGGAGCCUGUUUUAGACCAUACAAAGCCUUUUUCAGCUUGUAGACCUUCUGUUCUUCACCAGUGACCUUAAAACCCUCAGGUUGCUCAAUGAAUAUUUCUUCAUUAAGAAAUCCAUUUAGAAAGGCUGACUUAACAUCCAGAUGAUGCACCUUCCAAUGCUUUUGAGCUGCCAAAGCUAGCAGCAAUCUGAUAGUAUCCAACCUUGCAACAGGUGCAAAGGUUUCAGAAAAAUCAACCCCUUGCUGCUGACUAUAACCUUUAACAACCAGUCUGGCCUUAUGUCUAUUAAGAGAGCCAUCUGCAUUGUUCUUAAUUCUAUAGACCCACUUUACACCUAUAAUUUUUCUGUUUUCAGGUCUGUUUACAAGCUCCCAUGUAUCAUUUUUCUGAAUCAUUUUAAAUUCAGCUUCCAUAGCAUCCUGCCAGCAUUUUUCUUUUGCAGCUUCUUCAAAACAUGAAGGCUCUACUAUAGUUACUGUACAUCUCUCAUAGAUGUCAGUUAAUGUCCUGGUGCCUCGAACAGGUUGAUCAUCAUAGCCAUUUUCAAUUACUUCUUCAUUUUCAGCUUGCUGCAGAUCAACAUCAAUCUCUUCUCCAUCUGGAAAAUUUGCUUCAAUUCCAUCCCAUUUCCAGCUACUUGCUUCACUGAAUUUCACAUCUCUGCUCACUACAACCUUCUUGGUCAGUGGAUCAAAGACUCUGUAUCCUUUCUUCACAUUGCUGUAGCCAACAAACACCCCAGGCAUGGACCUCCUGUCCAACUUGGUUCUUCUCUCCUCAGGUACCAACACAUAACAUAGACAGCCAAAUACCUUCAAAUGAGAGACAGAUGGUUUCUGUGCAAACCAGGCUUCAAAGGGAGUUUUUCCUUUGACUGCAUUAGUUGGCAACCUAUUCAACAGGUAAAUAGCUGUAUUCACAGCUUCAGCCCAAAAAACAUUAGGCAUUUUAGCCUCAAAUAACAAACACCUAGCCAUAUCAAGGACUGUUCUGUUUUUCCUUUCACAAACACCAUUUUGCUGUGGUGUGUACACAGUAGUCAAUUGGUGUUGAAUUCCAGCAUCAUCACACAAUUUUUGAAACUUCUGAGAUACAUACUCAGAACCAUUGUCAGACCUCAAACAUUUUAAUUUGCAAUUUGCUUGGUUUUCGACCAAGGCUUUAAAUUUGCAGAAAGAGUCAUAAACAUCUGACUUAUGCUUCAAAAAAUUUACCCAACAGAACCUUGAAUAAUCAUCAAUGAAGAGUACAAAGUACCUGCUGCCAUUUAAGGAGGUAGUCUUCAUUGGUCCACAGAUGUCUGUAUGAAUAAGCUGAAGCUUCCCUUGUGCUCUCCAUGCCUUGUUGACUGGAAAGGGUAAUCUGGUCUGUUUGCCUAGCUAACAGACCUCACAUACAGCAUCCUUUGGCUCAAUUUUGGACAUAUCACUGACCAAAUCCAUUUUGUGCAGCAUGCUCAGUGAAUUGUAGUUCACAUGCCCCAUCCUCCUGUGCCACAAGUCUGUCUCAUCAGACUGAGAUGCGUAUGCCUUGGCUUGCAGUUGAUUCACAUCCACAAUGAAGGUUCUGUCUUGCAUAGCCACUGUAGUCAACACUUCACCAGCAGCAUUUUUGAUCAAACAGUUUUUGCCUUCAAAAAUCAGAGAGUAACCCUUCUCCAAUAGCUGGCCAACACUUAGCAAGUUUUGGUCAAUGUCAGGUACAUAGAGAACCUCUGAAAUGGUUUUAAUACCUGACUUAGUGCUUAUCAAAGCCUUGCCUUUCCCUUUUGCCUCUAGCAGCUCACCAUUGCCAAUUUUGACUUUGGACUUGAAGGUGGUGUCAAGCUCCUUAAAUAUACUCUUCUUAGAAGCCAUAUGGUGGGUACAUCCACUGUCAAUCAACCAUAUUUUACUAACUUUGCUCGAGCUUGCAAAGCAUGAUGCUGAAAAGACAUGCUCUUCUGGUGAUUCAACCUCUUUUGCAGCUUGAGCUUGGCUUUGAAAUUGUGGUUGUGGUUUUGGCUUGCUCUUACAGACCUUUUCAAUGUGGCCAAAUUGCUUGCAGGCUCUACAUUGAAUGUCUGGUCUGUACCAGCAGUAUUUCUCAAGAUGAGUAGUCUUCUUGCAAUGGACACAAGGUGGGAACUUCCUUUUGACAGGUUCUUUCUUCUUCUUCUCAGUCCAGGGCUUCUUGCCUUUGGCAUUUAAGUUUGCACUUGAGCUUUCUCUGCUUCUAGCCUGAAAAGCUCCUUCAUAGUGGUCCUCCUGCCUAUUUGCCAUUCUCUGCUCUUGAGCAUAGAGAGCAUUUAUAAGCUCUGUCAAAGGGAUUGUUGACAAGUCCCUUGAAUCUUCCAGAGAAGAAAUUUUUGCUUCAUACUUCUCUGGCAAGGUUGUUAUGACCUUCUCAACCACUCUUUGGUCACUGAAUUCUUCCCCAAGCAGCCUUAUGUUGUUGACAGUAGCCAUGAUUCUGUCAGCAUACUGCUUGAUGGUUUCUGAGUCCUUCAUUUUGAGAUUUUCAAAAUCUCUUCUCAUGUUGAUCAGCUGCUGUUGCCUGGUCUUGUCAGACCCCUGAAACUCCUCCUUGAGUUUGUCCCAGGCCUGCUUUGGAGUGUCACAAGCCAUUAUUCUUGUGAAAAUAACAUCAGAAACUCCACUUUGAAGGCACGACAUAGCCUUAUACUUCUUGGCACAGUCUUCAUUGUGCUGCCUAAUCUGGGCUAUAGUCGGGUUGGCUCUUAGUGGUGGUGGCUCAGUGUCAUUGAGAACAACAUUCCACAGGUCGUGUGCCUGCAGGUAUGUUCUCAUUUUCACUGCCCAGAUGUUGUAAUUUUCUCCAGCAAAGACAGGUGGAGGAGGUGGUGUAAAACUCAUUUUUCAGCAAGCAAAACAACCUCUUCUUCUUUUGUUUCAAACACAAUUUGCUUAGUGACAGUGUACAACCAAGGCCCUCAAAGACUGAAAGCUCUUGAUACCAUUUGUUGGAACAAUGGCAGUAGCAAAGAAAGCAAAAACGAAUGAAACAAAACAAAAGAAAAAGAACUCAGCAAGAAAAUUUGUAACUGAAAAGUCAUCAUAGUUUCAUUCAAAUUUUGAAUAUAUGAAGAUUACAAAAGUAUUUGACAGUUACCUACUAAUUUAACUGCUCUUACUUAAUACUUACUAAAAAUAUAGCAACUUGUAUACCAAAGAAAGCUGGCAUACCAGCUAUUACAUCAGUCAAUCUUUCCUACUAACUUAGCUAACUCAUUACAAAGAUUUAGGCUAAGUUCCAUAGGAACAAAUAUUCAAAAAAUAAUUUUAUAACUGAACCAACUCCAUUUCUUUGCUACAAAACAGUAUAGCAGCUAAAAUUGUACAAUUUUCUGCUGUUGGUCUUUUGACCAAUUUGUUGCUGUUGGUUCUUUGUUGCAAUGCAGGCCACGGCUUCAACACUCUCCCUCUCCAUUUGGGAAUUCUGUUUUCAAGAGUGGUCAUAUUGAGAUUGUAUAUGGAUCAGUCAAAACUCUAAUGGAGUUGGAAGGUGCCUUUGGAAUGACACCUCAAGAUGUUGAUAAUGCAGUUCGAUCUCAUAAACAUCAUCAUAAACAGGUAGUUGUGUGUACAUAUUACAUUUCUAUAGCUAUGUUUUUAUUAAUAUUUAAAAUUUUGAAUUAACAUAUUUAAUAAACCUACAAUACAAUGGGCUAACGUGGCGGCAUGGCAGAAGCAAAUCAAAGAAUUGUUGGAAGAAAUUGAGAAUGAUCAAGUGGCGGAGGAACCAGUUCAUCACUUUACCGUACGAAAUAAUUCUAUAGAAAGUUUGGAGAAGACAGGAAAUGCUCAUUUAGUAGCUGCAGCACUUAUAGCCACCGUCGCAUUUGCAGCAGCAAUAACUGUUCCUGGUGGUUUGGAGAGUGAAAAAGGGUCAAAUCGAGGCACUCCCAUUUUGAUUCAAGAGGCAGCCUUUAAAGCAUUUGUUGUAACAAAUGCAAUGGCCUUUAUUUUCUCUGUUUCUGCCCUCACCACCUACUUUGCGGUUCUGGAUCAUCUUUUUACACGAUUUAUUUUUUGGCGUGAAGCAAUAAUUUUAAAUCGAACUUGGUCUGUUUCUAUGCUCCUUAACUAUGCAACGCUUGCAAUGGUAAUUGCUUUCAGCACGGGUAGUUAUGUGGUCUUAAAACCUUCCCACGAACUUGCCAUUGUUUCAUAUCUCAUAUGCCCUGCCUUUUUACUUUGUAAGUGGACAGCUUUGUUUGUAAUUUUGAGUCAUUCAAUACAUAUUUAAAAUAUAAAUAUGAUAAUAUUACUUUAUGGAUUAUUACAAUGUUGUUUCGAUUAUUAUAAAUUCAAAAAUAUUUUAUUUCCUUUUAAUAGUUUUUCAAAUAUUAAAUAUAUAACGCAAAAUAUAUAUAUAUAUUUUGUUUCUCAUGAAAAAUAGAUAUCAAUCAUGCUUUUCAAGUUUUCAUUAUUGAAAACAAAAUUUUAUUUCUAGUUAUCAAACUUGAUUUUAAAUUUUCAAAAAAUAGAAAAUAAAAAUAUUUUCAGAAACCUAACAAAGCUUAACUUUUUUUUUUGUUAAUAUACCAUUUGGUAUUUGAGUUAGUUUUAUUGUUCAAUUUGAUAAUUAAUUUCGGCUUCAAUAUUUAAUUUGAUAUCUAAACCAAAUGGUUUCAUAAGGCCUAAUAAAUAUUUGACAGGUCUACUCUAAAAAAUAGACGUGGGUAUUCUAAUUGAGACAAAAAAAAAAAAAAGAAGAAGCUCAAGUAUUAAAUUGAACUUUUUUAAAGUUAAACUCGGAUACUUAACUAUGACAAAAAGAAACUCAAGUAUCAAAGUAAAAAAAUUAAGUACAAAAUUGAACAUUCAAACCAAAUUCAUAUACAAAAUUAUAAAAAAUAAUCUUUUAAUACUAAAUUAAAAUUUGAAGUGAAAUUCAAGUAUCAAAUAAUAUAUUAACUCUUCUUUUUCUCUUAGAUCCUCACCUUGAAAAAAGCUAAUUAAGGUUAUUUGUUUUACAUUUACAACUUAAAAUUUUCAUAUAAAUAGAUUCUGUAUUUAUAAAAAUUUAUUUUUAUUAAAGAUUAAAUAAGAUUUAAAUGGUGUGUUGUUCUAAAGUUCACAAAUUUUUAUUUAAAAUAAUUACAUAAAAGUAAUAAAAAUUCAAAAUUUCACACCAACAAUAUAAAGUUAAAAAAUCACACAUAAAAAAUAGCAUUGCUAAAGAUUCUGCUUUACUAAAUUGUUUAAGUAAGGAAUUAUACAUGCCAUGGUGCUUUCUUUGUACCAAUGAUCUCUUUGGAUGGGUGAUGUGUUUAUUUACGAUUAGUAUAAAAAUAACAAUGUAAUACCUCAAAUUCGGUCUAGACGUUAUGACCGAAUAGGACUACAAGAGUUCAUCCAUCCAAUCACACCAAUAUGUGGCGGUGUGCCACUCAUAAAUAUGUAGCUGAGCUUCCAUAUAGAAAUUUGCUCUAGUCGCCAUAUAUUUGCGGUAAAAACUGUCAUAUAACACUUCCUCUAUUUUAUCAUAACCCAACUCAAUGCAAAUGUAAAAUCACGUUAACAUUCAUACAUAUAAUAUAGAUCGUAUGGCAUGCAUGCAUAAAUAGAUAUUAUACAAAGCAUAACACAACACAUAACUUAUACAGAUCAUAACAGAUUGAGAUUAUGCUGCACACAGAGGUUGCAAUUUUGUCGUGGAAGAACUGUUAAAAAGGGAUGUAUCAGCUGCCUAUGUAAGUGACAAAAAGAGGGGGAUGACACCCCUUCUUAUGGCAGCCAAGCAAGGUUAUCUUUUAACAGUUUCAAAGAUUCUCUCUUUUAUGUCCAGAUUGUUGUGAAAAAGUCGACAACAAAGGUUUGAAUUUACUUCAUUAUCAGGCUUUUAGAGUGUCAUCUUUUCAAGCUUGGUGGUAUUGGGAUUGCAUAUGGAUCGGUCAGAAAUUUAAUGGAGUUGGAAGGUGCCUUUGGAAUGACACCUCAAGAAGUUUAUAAUGCACUUCAAUAUGAGAAACAUCAUCAUAAACAGGUUUAUAAUCAAUGAUUUUUUUAUAUCUCAUCCGCACUUCAUUUUGGUGGCCUCCUCCACAUGGAUGGUUAAAGUUUAAUGUGUGUGGGAUUGCUAAAGAAGAUAGAGCAGGUUGUCGAGGUGUCUUGAGAGAUAAGGAGGGUGUCGCAAGAGCAUUAUUUUCUGGUUCAGUUGCAGCAAAUGAUGCCGAUGUGGCUGAGAUUGGUGCGGUGAAGAUUGCUCUGUAAGUAUUUUUUAGCUAUGAACUGGAAGAUUAAUGAUUCUUUAUUUAUUGAACUUGGUUCAUUGGUGGUGUUUUCUUGGUGUGCUAACAAGGUAAUGAGACCAUGGUCUCUUCAAGCAAUUUUUGCAGGUAUUGAAAAUGACAUGUUAAAGGCCGGAAAUGUUGUAUUCUCAUUGGCGGAUAAGAAAGGUAACGAGAUGGCAUCUUCCUUGGCAAUUGCAGGUUUUAAUCGGGUGAAAAUGUUUAAAGCUUGGUGAUGAAUUUUUGUUUUGUUGCAUUCAUAGGUUUAUUAGAGUUGGAAUGCGUUUUACUUUUGAUUGCUGUAAUACUGAAAUUUUUGUUGUUGUUCUGUUCGUCUUUGACAACAGUACAGCUCGAAUGGAGCCAAAAAAAAAAAAAAAAAGGGAAUGUUACAUCUUUGUAUAAGCAUUACUUUAAUUUUCAGUUAUAAUUAAAAAUUAGUUUGACAAAUCAUUGAAAAAUAUGAGAAUUUUAAGUUUAAGAAAAACACAAAGUUUUAUUUAAAAGUGGGAAGUCGUCCUCAACUUUUCUAGUUAGCUGCGAUUAGACACAUUUAAAAUCAAAAUUCUUUUUUAAAAAGAUAAAAUUGAGUUUACAAUAUAAAUCCAAACAAAAAUGUUUAGGUUAAUUAGAGAAUUUGUUAUACGAAAGGAAGAUUUUAGCAUCCUCAUGACGCCAAAAAUUAAUUCCUUGUUAAAUAUGUGUUGUCUACAUUCGUAAAUUAAAACUCAUAUCUUGGUUUUUGAUUAUGAUCCAAUUUUUUGAUAAAUUAAAAAUAAAUAUUAAAUGAGUGAAUCAAUUUUUUAAUAGCAAAACAAAGAUAAUGAUCAAGAUGUAGCAUUUUCAAAAUUCAGGGGCCCUUUUUGAGAUUUUCCAUUUAUUUUUCAUCAUGUUUAAAAGAGAAAAGUUAUAAAUUUUGAAGUCAGUAGCCCAAUAUUUAUUAAGCCCAAAUCAAAUAUUAGCUCAAAGUUCAGAAGCAUUCGAAUUUUAAAAUUGUGAAAUUACAUUUAAUAGAAAGCAAUAACAUUUCAAAAGCUAAUAAAUAUUAACAAAAAUCGGAUCCGAUAUCAACAACAUAAAAUUUGAUAUUAUCAUGUAAGCCGCUAUUUUUAAAUAUUUAAUGUUUUAGUCAAUAUUUUUGUUAAAAAAAUCAAUUUGAUUGCUUUUGAAAGGUUUAUGGCUAAAUUCGAGUCUUUUUUUAAAAGAUUGAUGACCAAAUUUAGCUCAAGAAAAGAAUAAGGGCCAAAUUGAUAAAAAAAAUUUACAUAAAUACUACGAGCUAAUUUUAUCAUUAUGCCUAAUGAAAAUUAAGUUGUAUACUUUUAUGAUAGUAAAAAAAAAUGUAAUUUCAUAAUUUUAAUAGCUUAAAUCUUUAUAAUAUUUAAAAGAUUAAAUCAAAUAUUUAUAAUUUUUAGAAGGUCAAAAUAUAAUUUUAUCAUUAUUAAUUUAAAAUUUUGUAAAUUAUAGAUAGGUUAAAAAGAGAGACCUAUUGUCCCCUUGGCUCCACCCCUAAACCCAUACGUUUUCAUCCAACUUUGAAAGUCCUUUCAAGCUUUCCAAUCUAUUAUAUUUGAUGUCUCAACGAUCCUAACUCUCGACCAAAUAAUCUUUUUCACUAUUUUUAAACUAAUAUACUUAGGAUUGAGGUAGAAUAAGGACAUGGUGAACUCCAAAAGUAAAUUAAUUUUUAAAGGGAUUUAAGACUAAUUCAUUUUGUGUCAAGUCUACAGUAUUAUUAGUUCAUAUUAACACAUCUCUGUCUUCACUUGAAAGUUAAUCUUACUCCGGCACAAUCAAGACAAAUUAUGUCUCAUUAUUAGAUUUUAGACAACGUAUAAAUCUCUUUCUCUUCGUAAUUCUAUAGAUUACAAGUCAUGUAUUUAAAUUAUCGACUAAUGGAAAUUGUCUUUUGCAUACAAAACUAAAUUUGUGAUGCAACUCCGAAUUAAUUUAACAUAGGAAAAGAAGGGAGUGCGGCUUCCAUGCAGCAACGACCAAAGCCAAAGAGAAGGCGUGCUGCCUAAUUUCUUGCCCUUCUCAUCCACACAAUUUCUUGACUUUUCUUGUGUUUCUCAUCCACACAAUUAAUUUAUAUUUUAGUAACACAUUUUGAUUUUGUUUCCCUUGUAAAUAUUUAAAAAUAUAUAAAUCUAAGUAUUUACAUGUUUGAUAAAUAAAUUGUUUGUAUAAAAAAAGUGAAUUUUAAAUUAUGUCAUAAUAGUUACAAUAUUAAUGGUUUGCGAAAUUUAAUUAAAAUUAAAAUUCGUUUUUAUAAUUAAACAAAUUAAAAUUUAUGUUUCAUAUUGCAAAUUAAAUUAAAGUUAAUACAUGAUUUUGAUUUUUAUUUCUUUGCAUUUUCGUGAAAAAAGUAUUGACUUCACCAAAAAGAGCUGGAGAGCUCAUUUUCUUCCAUUCUUCUCCUUCUUUGCAGUUUCCUUAAACCCGAAUUUCACCAUAAAAAACUCCUAAAAAUGAUGGAUUAGGUGCAUCUACUUUUCAACAAUUGUUAGUAUUUUAACCAUCUUUAUUAACUUUGUUUUAGGGCCAUUUGCUUUCCUUUUCGUUUCAAUUAAGUCAUCAUAUGAUAAUAAUAUUUAAUGUAAGUUAUACAAAUAGCCAUUUAAUUAUUAGCACAUUAUUAUUUUGGUCACUCGUGUUUAAAAAAGUUUAAUUUAGUCACUAAUAUUAUGGACAAUUGAUAUUUUUGUCAUUCCUCGUUCAAUUAUUAAUAGAAUCUUGAUGCAACUUUUUUAUUGGCAUAUUAAUAAAUUUAGCUUUUCAAUCUCUAUAAAUUUUAUUAAUUUGAUCUUAAUUCUAAAAAAUAAAUUUAACCCUUAACUUUACACAUUAUGUUAAUUUAAUCUUGAUUCUUAAAAUUUUAAAAAAUAAAAAUAUAUAUUUAAAAGUUUUUUUUUUAUAAAAUACAUAUACAAAUUUAUAAAAUGCAUACAAAAAUAUAAAAAUAUUUAUAAAUAAAUGAAUACUAAUUUUUUUCUUCAAAGAAAUCCUUCAAAGAAAAUCUAGGGUUUAGUCUGAAUGAGUCAAUAUUAACUAACAUGACCAAAAUUUAGUCUGUAACAGUUUUCUGAGCUACCAAACACCGUCUUAGAAUAAAAAAGAGCAUAGGGCAGCAUUAACUUGACCACGAAGAGCUCUAGACCCCAUUUUCUUCCAUUAUUUUCUUUAAUUCUUCUCCUUCUUUGCAGUUUCCUUAAAACCAAAUUUCACCAUAAAAAACCUCCUACUUUAUUGACCUCACUUCUAACCCAAUAUAUCACUAUUAUUAUUACUAAAGUGUUCAACCAUAUAUGGUUGCCAGUAGUUGACUUGAAUGCAGGAUUUGCAAGCAAGUAACUAACUGGUAUGGCAUUCGGUAAAUUUCUGAUUUUGCAGUACUUUUUUCUUGAGCUUCGAAUGUUUCAAGCUAAUUAAUUCAAUUUUGUUUGGUGUUAUCCAGGAAGAAAUAGAUCAACAAAAAUGGGACCUGAAGAGCCUGAACAGAACAUCACUCACAUGGAUGCUUCGCUGUAUAAGGCAGCAGUAGAAGGCAACAUUGAAGAAUUCAAUAAUAAGCAGGGGCCUCAGCUUGAGUCGCUAAAGACCCCAAACCAUGACAACGUGCUCCAUCUUAACUUGGCAACCCAGGAGAAUGCUACCUUGCUUUUUAACAUAUUUCUCUCAAUAAUCAAAUUCUUCCCCGUACUAUAUGGAUGCUUCUCUCCGCCUAUGCGUGAUUUAAUUACUAUUAUAAGAGGAGAAAAAAGAUCAGAUUUUAUCGAACAAAUUCUCAGCAAGUGUCCGUCAAUGCUACUCCAAACGAAUGCUAAAGGCCAAACUCCUUUGCACGUUGCAGCAAGGUAUGGUCAUUCUGCUAUUGUGAAACUUCUAAUCAAGUCUUGUGCAAAAGCUAGAGAUGGAGAUUUAGAGAAGCUGGGAAUGGAUGAAGUAAAUGCAGUGAGGGGGAUGCUGAGGAUUAGGGAUCAGGAAUCCAACACGGCUUUACAUGAAGCAGCACGAUGUGGCAAUGUUGAAGUGGUAAAAGCAUUGUCGGAGUUUGAAGAACCUGAUUUUCCGUAUUCUGCCAAUAAAAAACAGGAGACUCCACUUUACAUAGCUGCUAGGAGAGGAGACGGAGGCAUGCUGAGUAUACUAUUAGAUAAAUCAAAAUCAACAGCUCAUGGCGGCCCCCACGGUAGAACAGCUUUGCAUGCAGCAGCUAUGGCUGGAGAUGCAGGUAUGUUGUUGAGUUGGUUCCAAUUUUUUUAAAAAAAAAUUUGAAAUAAAUAAAGAACAGGUCUAUUGGCAUUUUUUUUUGCUUGGAUUUAGAGGCAAUAAGGAUAAUAUUAGAGAAGAAGGGGAAUUUGACAAAAGAAAGAGAUGAAGAUGGACACACCCCUCUUCAUUAUGCUGCACACUUGGGUUCUAGAUUAUCAGUUGUGGAAGAACUGUUAAAAAGGGAUGUUUCAGCUGCCUACAUAGGUGAUAAAAAGAGGGGGAUGACACCCCUUGUUAUGGCAGCCAGGCAAGGUUAUGGUGGAACAUGUUCAAAGAUUCUCUCUUUAUGUCCAGAUUGUUGUGAAAAAGUGGACAAAAUAGGUUUGAAUUUACUUCAUUAUAUGGCUUUUAGAGACUCUGUCUUCCCACUAGGGAGUUCUAUUUUCAAGCGUGGUGGUGCUGAGAUUGUAUAUGGAUCAGUUAGAAAUCUAAUGGAGUUGGAAGGUGCCUUUGGAAUCACACCUCAGGAAGCUCAUAAUACACUUCGAUCUAAGAAACAACAUCAAAAACAGGUGUGUGUAUAUAUAUUGCAUUUCCAUGGCUAUGGUUUUAUUAAUAUUUAAGUUUUGAAUUAACAUAUUCAAUAAACCUACAAUACAACCGGUUAAUGUGGGUGGCAUGACAGAAGCAAAUCAAAGAAUUGUUGGAAGAAUUGGAGAACGAUCAAGUGGCAGAGGAACCCGUUCGUCACUUUCGCUUACCAAAUGUUUCUACAGAAAGAUUGGAGGCUAUAAGAAAUACUCAUUUAAUAGUGGCAGCACUUAUAGCCACCGUCACCUUCGCAGCGGCAAUAACUGUUCCUGGUGGUUUGGAGAGUGAAAAAGGGUCAAAGCAAGGCACUCCCUUUUUGAUUCAUGAGGCAGCCUUUAAAGUAUUUGUUGUAACAAACGCAUUGGCCUUUAUUUUCUCUGUUUCUGCCCUCUUCAUCUACUUUGGGGUUCUGGAUAUUCUAUUAUCAAGAUUUAAAUUUUGGCGUCAAACAGUUUUAUAUCGAACUCGGUCUGUUUCUGGGCUUCUUGGCUAUGCAACGCUCGCGAUGAUGAUUGCUUUCAGCACAGGCAGUUAUGUGGUCUUAAAACCUUCCCACGGACUUGCCAUUGUUUCAUAUCUCAUAUGCCCUGCCUUCUUUUUCGUUCUGCAUUUGACUAUUUUUGAUUACUAUAUUACUAAGAUAUUAUUUCAUCGUUGAUUACAAUAUUUUUCCAAUUCCUAAUGUCAAUGUUACCUCUUUGAAGAAAUAUUACUUUAAUAUUAAUAAUCUCCAUUUAAUUGUAAUUAAUAUAAAAUUAUUAGUUGCUAGACAUACAAUUUCAAAUAAAGUAAAAUUUAUUAAAUAUCAAAGAAUAAUAAAGAUGAUGUAAUUAACUCUCGGUUAUAAUUAAAAAUUAGUUGCAUUAUAAUAUGCAUGCCCUGUAAUUUUGAUAAUUUUGAUUCUUUUUCUAAUAAUUUAGUAAUUUAAUGAUGUUUAACAACUUUGUUUUCGCACGUUAUAUAAUUUUAUUUAAUAUUUUAUAAUUAAAUUAAAAUUUUAUGUAUUCAAAAUAACCUAAACUUACCUAACCUUUGAAUUAGAUUCAAUCUUAUAAUAUUUGUAAUUAAUAUAAAGUAGUAAACUAUUCUUAGUCAUGAAUUAAUUUCUUCCUCCAAUACUUGCAUGCAAAACCAAAGACAAUGAGAUUAAAAAAAAAAAAAAAUUUAAAGUUUUUGCGAUUUGGACUUUCAAUAUUGUAACUUUAGCAUUUCGACCAUAACUUAAACUACAAAUCUCUAUUUUGAGCCCAUAAUAUAGCAUCUAAUUAAAAUUAUUUCACAAAUCAAGCACCAAAACCUCAUGAACGCAUCUAAAAAUAGCCUGGAAGUUUGACACGAAAGUUGCUAAGAAAUCUUGAAAAAAUCUGCUUUAUAUAAAUAGAUAAUUUUUUGUAUUUUCUCUAUUAUAUUAUCUUUGCCUUAUAAACAUACAUUAUUAGGUUAAAACUUGAGGAGAGACCUAGACAUAGUCACCUUAGCUUUAUUUUGUUUUUGCGUUUUAUUUUCUUUAUGAGUUUUUAAAUUUUUUUUCUAGUUUAAGGUCAAUCAAAGUUUGAUUCAAUAAAUUUAUGAGACAUGAUUUGCACUUUAAUUCUUUUUUGUUCUUUGAUAUUCAUGCAUCUUCUGUUAUAAUUACAAUUGCUCAAGUUUAUUACUAUUGAGUCAUCAACUAGAACUAAUUUAUUAAACACAUUGAAGAUAUCAUUAUAUCGAUGAUCGAACUUACAAAAUCAAUUGUAGAUUUUACCUUUGGGUAAAACCUUUCAACAUUGAAUUUCCUAAAAUUUUUAAUUAUUACUUUCUUUGAUUCAGCUUUUAAUUUAAAUUUAGUUUUUUUAUUUUAUAAAACCCUUUUUUUUAUUUACCUUAGUGGUUCUUACUUAAGGAAUAUAAUUAUCACUAAUAUCUAUAUAUGUGGAUAUAAUUUUGCUUCUUGUUUUCUAUUAAUUUAUAUGUUCAAAUUGAUUUUAUUUUUAUAGGUCUCGAUAGUCUAACAACUCUCUUGGAUCUUCUUGUUGAGCAUUUUUGAACUUCUUAAACCUUUGGCUUCAUUUUGACCUGUAUUUAAAAACUUUGUUUAAGUUUCAAGAUAAAAAGGUUAUCUACCAUUGCAACUCUUCUAUAGUAGUGUUAUGAUUAGUGGACAUUACUUCUGUCACUUGUAAGGAAACACUCUUUUUUCCUCUACUUCAAUUUUCUUUUUAUUUAAUCUAGAUUGAUCUCAUAGGUUUGUAGAAAUCCAAUUGAUUCAUCAAUUCACAUAUUAUCAAUAUCUUUGGCUUCUCCAAUGAUUGUGACUUUGAUGUUGAAUUUCUUUAGAAAAGAUCAAAUCACACAAUUUGGCAUAGAACUUGUCAAUUGUUUCAUUAUCCUCCAUUUUUAGAGUUUUAAACCUUGUUAUGAGCAUUUGUAAUUUAGAUUGCUUCACAAUCUCUAUAACACCCCUAAACCUCGCCUGAACGUUAUGGCUGAAUCUAGAAUGUUACGAAGAAGGGUUUUGAAACCGAUCUUUACAUGAUAAAAAAAAACCUCGUAUGGUAUCUUACUAGAAAAGAGUCCUUAUUGUAUAAAACAUAUCCAUUUAACAUUGUCUUUACUAAAACCGUUGAUAGUUUGUUCUUUAAGAAAAACUUAAUUCGCGACAGAAAUCUUAAGUGUCAUUAUAUGUCGAAAACCAAGUUUGUGUUUUCCAAAACGUUUGUUUGCAUAAAACCAUUAUUUACGAAAAAUUGUUUGUUGUGCGUUGCAGAAAACAUAAUCAAACCAAAAACAACAACAAAAACCAAAAGAAAUCAAAAAGUCCGGAGAGUCCCAAAAUUACAAAACUCUCAAGAAAAACCAUAAAUUAAAAUAAAACCAAUAAUUAAAGGAUAGUUUCCAUACUAGUGGUCAUCGCUGAGCUUCCGUUGCACCGACCUGCCUAUGUCUGAAGAUUACCUGAAUAGAGUAGACAAACAAAUGUGAGUUUUCAAAAACUCAAUGUGUAACUUAACAGAGACAUGCAUACACAUAAACUCAGAUUUCUCAUGUAGCAAAUCAGAUACGGGCAUAAGUCAUUAACAGAAUCAUAUAAUAUCAUAAUCGGAUUAUUAGAAACAUACAGAUAUCCAAAGUCCUACCCCCAUCCUCUACACACUAUCUCUGACCAUCCCAACACACCAUAUGGGGUAUAAAACACCCACUCAUCCCUACACACCACAUAGUGUCUUUACAACACUUAUCAAGAAUAGUAUGCAGUCAAGCUGCCAGUAUAUCGGCGAAAUGUCACCUCACAGAACACUUCCUCCACAUAUACAAAUCCCACCCCAUACAUAGAUACAGAUAACAGAUAACAAAUAUAACAGAACUAACAUGUCCCGCAUGCUCAUAUACAAAUAUCAUACAUGUUAUUAUGAAAUAGUCAAAUCAUACAUAUCAACUUCUAAAUACUCAAAUUAGUCUAUCAAAGUAGCAGAUAUCAUACAUUAGGGUUUGUUAUUAUGUAAUGUAUUGAAAUAAUCAUAAUCUAAACUUAAAAUAAUAAAAUAAAUUUAAAUAGCAUCGGAUGCUUAAACUAAAAUCAGAAAGAAAUAUAAAAUUAAACAAAACAUUGACUUUGUUAUACAAUAGUUUAAGUAUCAUUAAAUAAUAUUUAUAAAUAUAAAAAAGUCAAAGUCUUUUUAAAAUACUAAUUAUUUAAUUAGUUAAUGAGUGUUGCAUUUGAUCUCAUGUUAUAUAUAUUAUAAUAUGCAUGUGCUACUUGCCUGGAAAGGUUAAAAUUAGUUGUAUAAUUAAUUAAUAAAUAUUUGAAACAUUAUUUUUCUUGAAAGAUGGACUGAUUUUUAAUAGCUUCAUUAAUUAAUUAAAAUCUAAUAAUGCAACUUUGUUUUAAGGCCAUUUGCUUUCCAUUUCCUUACAAUUAAGUCAUUCAAUAACAUUUUAGUAGCGUAUUUCUGUUUUGUUCAUUCAGAUUUAAAAAAUUAUAUGUUAAUCACUUAUCGGUUGUUGAUAUUUUGGUCACUUUUCCGUUAAAUCAUUAAUAGAAUGUUAAUGCAGUUUUGUUUUUAUUGGUAUAAUAAUAAAGUUAGCUCUUUAAUGUUUAUAGAUUCUAUUAAUUUAGACCUAAUUUUAAAAAAAAACAAAUUUAACCCUUAACUUUACAUAUUAUGCCAAUUGAUCUCAAUUCUUAAAAAUUUAAAAAAUAAAAAAGAUAUUUAAAAUUUGUUUCGAUAAAAAUACAUACAAAAUUAUAAAAGUUAUAAAAUACAUACAUAUAAAUAAAUGAGUAUUCAAUUCUCUCCUUUAAAGAAAAACACGAAAAAGAACUUAUAUAAUUUAUCAUUUGUUUUGUUGAAAAUGUGGUAAAUCUUAGGGAUUUUCAUUGUUGGAAGGGUGAAAAGAAAAUCUAGGGUUUAGUCUAAAUCACUCAAUAAUAACUAACAUCAUCAAAUUUUGGAUGGACAUAAUGCAUUGAAAUAAUCAAUAAUCAAAAUUGACAUCAUAAAUACAAUCAACUUCAUAAUUAAAAUAUAUCUAAAUUUAAAUAGAUAAAACUAAAAUCAGAAAUAAAUAUGAAAUUAAACAAAACACUUACGCUGUUAUAUUGUAGUUUAAGUAUCAUUAAAUAAUAUUUAUAAUUAUAAAUAAGUCAAAGUCUUUUUAAAAUACUAAUUAAUUAAUUAGUUAAUGAGUGUUCCAUGUGAUCUCAUCUUAUAUUAUAAUAUGAAUAUGGGAAUGUGCUCCUUGCCUUGAAAGGUUAAUAUUAAUUAAUAAAAAUGUGAAAAAAUUAAAACUCGCCAUGUGCCUCCAUAAUUAGAAUUUAAUAAUGCAACUUUGUUUUACGGAUUUGCUUUCCAUUUCCUUACAAUUAAGUCUUUCAAUUAUAUUUUAGCAGUGUUUUACUGUUUUGGUCCGUUUAUGAUCAAACUCACAGAAACAAAGUUAAAUUAGUUAGGGGGUUACAAUCUCCAUGCCUUCAUGGGCAAUCUCAAAGAUUUCAAGCUAUAUAUAUGUGUCACUUGUCUUGAUAAGCCACAAGGUGUCUUGGAAUAAGUAAGGCAUUUUGUAAUUUUUCUUAAUUUGUAAUCUUUUUUUCGUUUAUCUUUGAAUGUUCCACGGUAAUUGAAUAUUAAUUGGUGUUUUCAAGGAAGAAAGCUGUGCAAUAGAUCAACAAAUAUGGGACCAUCGUUAAACGACAUUGUUAUUUCCUCCGGUGAACCUGAGAAGCCUGCAGAGAACAUCACUUGCAUGGAUGCUUCAUUGUAUAAAGCUGCAGCAGUAGGCAAAAUUGAAGAAUUCAAUAAUUACCAGGGGCCUGAACUUGAGUCGCUGAAGACCCCAAACCAUGACAACGUGCUCCAUGUUAACUUGUCAACCCCUGAGCGUAUCUGGCAACGUACCAGAUUUGAUUUUGUCCUACAAAUUCUUGACAAGUGUCCAUCACUGCUACUCCAAACAAAUGCUAAAGGUCAAAUUCCACUGCAUGUUGCAGCAAGGUAUGGAUAUUCUACUAUUGUACGACAUCUAAUCAUGUUUUGUGCAAGGGUUAUUUAUAAAGAUUUAGAGAAGCUGGGAAUGGAUCAACUGAAUGCAGUGAGGGGGAUGAUCAGACAUACGGAUCAAGAAUCCAAUACGGCUUUACAUAUAGCAACACGGUAUGGCCAUGUUGAAGUGGUGCAAGCAUUGCUGGAGCAUGAAGACCCUGAUUUUCCAUAUUUUGCCAAUAUAAACCACGAAACUCCACUUUACUUAGCAGCUAGGAGAGGAAGUCGGCGCUUGCUGAGUAUAUUAUUAGAUAAAUCAAAAUCAACUGCUCAUGGUGGCCCCCACGGUAGAACAGCUUUGCAUGCAACAGCUAUGGUUAGAGAUCCAUGUAAGUUAAGUUCCAAUUUUUUUUUUUUUGUUUGAAAUAAACAGAGAAUAGAACCAUUGACUUUUUUUUUUGGGCUUGAAUUUAGGGGUUACAAGGAUAAUACUAGAGAAGAAAGGGAAUUUGACAAAGGAAACAGAUGAAAAUGGACACACCCCUCUUCACUAUGCUGCACACUUGGGUCACGAUGCUGUUGUGGAAGAGCUGUUAAAAUGGGAUAUAUCUGUUGCUUAUAUAGGUGAUAAAAAGUGGGGGAUGACACCCCUUCUUAUGGCAGCCAGGCAAGGUCUUUUUGGAACAGUAAGAAAGAUUCUGUCUUAUUGUCCAGAUUGUUGUGAAAGAGUGGACAAAAGAGGUUGGAAUUUACUUCAUUUUAUGGCGUUUAGAGACCUUUCUCGUGGAUUCCGCAUUUUAUUAAAGAAUGAUAAUGCUACCACGACUGAAUAUGGAUCAGUCAGAAAUCUAAGGGACUGGAAAGAUGCUAGUGGAAUCACACCUCAACAAGUUUUCAAUGCAUGUCAAUAUGAUAAGGAAGAGAAAAAGGUAUAUUUAUAUUUGUAUUUGUAUGCCUACGGCUAUGGUUUUAUUAAUAUUUGUGUUUUGAAUUAUGAUUAUAUAACAUAUAUAAUAUAAUGAUCUAUAAUAUAAUCGGCUAAUGUGGUAGGAACAAAUUGUGAAAUUGUUAAAAGAAAUUGUGAAUGAAGAAGUCGCGGAGAAACCAGUUUAUCCCAUCGGCUUGCCAAACAUAUCUGCAGAUAAAAACUUGGAGAAAGCAAGAGAUGCUCAUUUAGUAGUGGCAGCACUUAUAGUCACCGUCACAUUCGCAGCGGCAAUAACCGUUCCAGGUGGUUUGCAGAGUGAAAAAGGGUUAGAGCAAGGCACUCCCCUUUUGAUUCAUGAGGCAGUGUUUAAAGCAUUUGUUGUGACAAAUUCAUUGGCCUUUAUUUUCUCUGUUUCUGCCCUCACCACCCACUUUGGGGUUCUGGAUAAUCAAUUAUCAGGAUUUAAAUUUUUUCGUGAAACAGUUUUAUAUCGAACUCAGUCUGUUUCUGGGAUCCUUGGCUAUGCAACGUUGGCAAUGGUGGUUGCUUUCAGCACAGGUAGUUAUGUGGUCUUAAAACCUUCCCACGGACUUGCCAUUGUUUCGUAUCUCAUCUGCCCUGCCUUUUUACUCUGUAUUUGGGAAAUUUUGAAUCCUUUAAUGCAAAUGUAAAAUAUAAAUAUGAUAAUAUUACUUUAUCAUUGAUUACAAUGUUGUUCCAAUUCCUAAUAAAAAAUUAAUUUUUUUUUAAAAGAUAAUUUUGAGUCUACGAUAAAAAUUAAAAAAAAAUGUUGUUUACAUAGCAUCCUCGCGACGCUCAAAAUCGGCACCUUAUUAAAUAUGUUUUGUGUACCUUGUUAAAUUAAAAUUCAUAUCUAGGUACUUAAUUAUGAUCCAAAUUUUUGAUAAAUUAAAAGCAAAGAUAUUAAAUGAGUGAAUCGGUUAUUUAAUAGCAAAACAAAAGUAAGGAUCAAGAUGUAGCAUAUUCAAAAUUCAAGGGCCUUUCUUGAGGUUUUUCAUUUUAUAUUUUUUAUCAUUAUAAAAGAUAAAAAAGUUAUAAAUUUUGAAGUAAAUGGGCCCACAGUCCAACAUUUAUUACACAUAUGAACAGAUAAGAAAACAUUUGGGCCCAAAUCGAAUAUUAUCCCAAAGUUCAUAAACAUUUGACUUUAAAAAUUGUGAAAUUAAAUUCAAAACUAAUAAAUAUUAACAAAAAUUGGAUCCCAUAUCCACAAAUUAAAACUCCAAUUCUUGUUACUUACGGAUCCUGGACGAAAUUCGGUGUUUACAAAAGGUAUCAAGUGGCGGAGGAACUAGUUUGUCCCAUUUGCUUGCCAACUAUCUCUGCAAAAAGCUUGGAGAAGAAGGGAAAUGCUCAUUUAGUAGUGGCAGCACUUAUUGCCACCUUUGCAUUCGCAGCGGCAAUAACUGUUCUUGGUGGUUUGCAAAGUGACAAAAGGUCAAAGCAAGGCACUCCCCUUUUCAUUCAUGAGGCAGCCUUCAAAGCAUUUUAUUGUAACAAAUGCAUUGGCCUUUUUAUACUCCGUUUCUACCCUCACCAUCCACUUUGGGUUAUGGAUAAUAUAUUAUCAAGAUAUAAUUUUUGGCAUCGAACAGUUUCAAAUCGAACUCGAUUUGUUUCUGGGAUCCUUGGGCAUGCAAUGAUUGCAAUGGUGAUUGCUUUCAGCACAGGUAGUUAUGUGGUUUUAAAAUCUUCCCACGGACUUGUCAUCGUUUCAUAUCUGAUCGGCCCUGCCUUUUUCUUUGGUGUGUGGCUAAUUUUGCAUGCUUCCUUAUAUAUAUAAAAUAUAAAUGUGACAAUAUACUUUAUCAUCGAUUACAAUAUUCUUCCAAUUUCUAGUUCGAAUGUUACCUCUUUGAAUAAACAUUACUUCAAUUUUUUUUUUUGAGAUAUGUCUAUCUUAUUAAAAUUAUGAAAAAGGUCAAAAAAAAAUCACAAUUUGUGUAAAGUAAGAUUUACUAAAUAUCAAAGAAUAGUAAAGAUAUAUUGUAAUUAAUUUUCGGUUAUAAUUAAAAAUUAAUUUGACAAAUAAUUGAAAAAUAUGAGGAUUCUAGGUUUAAGAAAAACAUGAAAUGUUAUUUAAAAAUGAAAAGUGGCGAUUAAAUUUUUUGGCUAGGUGUGAUCAAACACAUUUAAAGUCAUCUUCUAAAAACAAAAUUUUGAAAAUUCUUUUUUAAAAAGAUAAUUUUGGGUCUACCAUAGAAAUUCAGAGAAAAUUAUUUAGGUUAGGGAAUUGGUUACGGAAGAUUUUGGGUCUAUCUUGUUAAAUAUAUGUUGUUUACAUUCGUAAAUUAAAAUUCAUAUCUCUGUAUUUAAUUGUAACACUCCAAAAUUGGGGCGAGGAGCAGUAAGGUUUGUUGGUUUGGGGUUAGUGGUUCGUAAGUCCUAAGUUAAUUUUUGUAUUUUAAAAAUAAAAUGAGUCUCUUGAUUUAGUGGUAAAAAAUUAGUUUACCUUUAGAUCUUGUGUUCAAAUUCUCGUGAGAGCUUUGAGGAAGUUAAUUUUUGGUUUUUAAAUUUUGUUAAAUUCUAUCACGUUUGGAUUCAAUUUUCAAUACUUCACUAAGUGAUGUAUGUAUUUGGACUAUAUGGACUUUUGUUAUGGUCCUUUUAUGAUAUUACUAAUAAUUUCUUGAUUGAGAAAAAAAAAUAUAUUACUUAUGACAUGUGGCUUCCCUUGUACCAUGUUAAAUAAUCUCUCGUGUUUGCAAGAUUUUCUAUUAUGUUCGUAUAUCAAGUGUUUAUGAAUGAAGUCAAAAAAUUUUUGUUGGGAGUCUGAAGUAAUAAUUUUAGAGGGGAAAUAAUUUUAAAUAAAUUUAAAAUUAAUUUAUCUCGUGUUUAGUUUAAUGUAUUCUUUAUCUAUAUCACUAUUUAAGAGUCAAUUCUAUUUUGAUAGCGAAGAUAAGUUAUUUUCCCUUAUUGGACAUUAGACUACAUGAUAUCCUUAUAUGAAUCACUUACUUAUCAUGUUUCCAUGAGUUAAUGGACUAUUCAUUUAAAUUACAACUAAUUGAAAUUAUCUUUUGCAUCCAAAACAAUAUUUGUGAUGCAACUUCCGAUAAAUUUAACGUAAGUAACUAAUGAGCUAAUAUUUACACAUACUAUUAGUUUACAUGUUGGUUUGAAUCCAUAAAAAUGUAAAUUUAUAUAAAUGUAAAAAAAAAUUCGACAGUUUUUCAAAUAUUAAAUCUCGUACAUUCGUUUGAAUCAUAAAAAAUAUACACUUUCUAUUUUAUUAUAGAAAAAAAAGUAUAUACCAUGUUUUUCAUGUUUUCAAAAUUUUAAUUUUAUUUAUCAAAUGUGUUUUUCAAUUUGAGAAAAAAAUAAAAAUUAGAAAAUGAAAUAUUUCUUUGAAAAUGAUAAUAGGAAAUAAAAAAAAAUAUUGUAAGGAACCGAAGGAAGCUUACCCUUUUUUUUUGGAUUAAUAUACCAUUUGGUAUUUAAAUUUGGUUCUAAUGUUCAAUUUAAUACUCAAACCAAAUGACUUCAUAUAGCUUAAUAAAUAUUUUACAUGUGUACUAUGGUAAAAAAAAACAUAAGUAUUUUAAUUGAGAUAAAAAAAAUGGGUAUUAAAAGAAACAUUGAAGCUAAAUUUAAGCAUUUAAUUAUGACAAAAGGAAAUUCAAGCAUUGAAUUGACAAUAUUUGGGUACCAAAUUAAACAUUGAAGCCAAACUUAUGUACCAAUUUGGAAAAAAAAAAUCUCGAGUACAUUAACGUUCUUCUGCUAUUAAAUCUUCUCAUUGAAUAAAGCAAAAGCUAUGAUUUGCAAAGAGAAUAAAUGGUGUGUAGGAAAAAUGUAGGGAAAGAAGAAUAAAGGGGAAAUUGUAGCUCCAUCUACUUGGACCAAAUUUUUUAUUAUAUUGAUUCCUUUUAAUGAAAAAUAAUUGUACUCAGGCGCAAAAGGUGGAAAAAAAAUUUUAGAGGGUCGAAAUUAAAUUUUAAUUUUUAUAAUAAUAAAAAUGUAAUUUUAACAUUUGAAUAGCCUAUAUAUUUAUAAUGUUUAAAAGAUUAAAUCAAAUUUUUAUCAUUUUAGGGGGGCCAAAGUGUAAUUUUAUCUUUACUAAUUUAAAUUUUUUUACUUGUACUACGAGUUGUAUUGCAUUUUGCCCCAUUUAAUUUAUAAAAAAAAAGUAAAUUAGUCAUUGUAUACUAGAUCAAAGAUCAAGUUGGUCCUUCUGAUAAACAUUAGCCCAUGUACAUUAGAAUGAGGGACACGUUGCAUGUCAUGUUUAACUAUCUAACUAUUCUGUUUGUUAUGCCCGUUUUAUUGAUAGAAAAGGAUGAAACUUUUAAUAGAAAUGAUCAGUUUACUUUUUUUAUCUAAUAAACAAUGACUAAUUUACUCAUUUUUUAAAAAGAAAAGGUAAGAUACAAUCUAAACCCUAAACCUUCAUAGUACUUUUACCUUAAUUAAAGCUCAUAGCAAGAAUAGCAUUGUUGAGGAUUAUGCUACGCGAAUGUGUUAAGGAAGAAAUUGAAAAAUGUAACGGUAGUUCUUUACGCAACACUAAAGUGUUCAAGUAAGGAAUUAUAUAUAGUUGUCACACUUGAAUGAAAGAUAUUAUAGGCAAGCAACAAAUAUGUAAGGCAUUUGGUAAAUUUCUGAAUUUGUAGUACCUUUUUUUUUUCCUUGAGCUUGGAAUGUUCCUAGCUAAUUAAUUACAUUUUGUUUGGUGUUAUCUAGGACGAAAGCUGUGCAAUAGAUCAACAAAAAUGGAACCAUCGACAAACAUCGCGCUUAUAUCCUCCGGUGAACCUGAGGAGCCUGAAGAGAACAUCACUUACAUGGAUGCUUUGUUGUACAAGGCAGCAGCAGAAGGCAUAAUUGAAGAAUUCAAUAAUCACCCAGAGCUUCAACUUGAGUCGCUAAAGACCCCAAACCAUGACAACCUGCUCCAUGUUAACUUGGCAACCCAGGAGAGUGCUGUUGACAUUGUGUACUCAUUAUUCAUAUUAUUCCCCGAAGGAUAUGUAUUAUUCCAUCAGUAUUUGAGUAUUUUCAUUAGUAUGAUAAAAAGAGAAAAGAGAUCAGAUUUUUUCGAGCAAAUUCUCAGCAAGUGUCCGUCACUGCUACUCCAAACGAAUGCUAAAGGUCAAACUCCUUUGCACGUUGCAGCAAGGUUUGGACAUUCUGCUAUUGUGAAACUACUAAUCAAGUCUUGUGCAAAAGCUAGAGAUGGAGAUUUAGAGAAGCUGGGAAUGGAUCAAGUAAAUGCAGUGAGGGAGAUGUUGAGGAUUACGGAUCAGGAAUCGAACACGGCUUUGCAUGAAGCAGCAGGGUGUGGCAAUGUUGAAGUGGUGAAAGCAUUGUUGGAGUUUGAAGACCCUGAUUUUCCGUAUUCUGCCAACAAAAAACAGGAGACUCCACUUUACAUAGCAGCUAGGAGGAGAGGAUCUGGGCGCUUGUUGACU
rnacentral:lncRNA from 1 species